rnacentral:tRNA from 1 species
GCCUCCAUGGCUCAGUGGUUAGAGUACUUCACUCGUAAUGAAGGGGUCCCGGGUUCGAAUCCCGGUGGAGGCU